rnacentral:snRNA from 1 species
CAACUCUGGUUUCUCUUCUUACGCACAAGCCUUUCUUUUACUAAAGACUUCCGUGGAGAGGAACUACGAGUUCAACUAUUUUUGGAAGGGCUUUGCUUCUGGCAGACC